GCCGCAAGCAAUUGCGACGUUUAAAUUAUGUGCCCGAUCAACAACGGUUACAUUUGGGAUACCUUUGGGACCCGUCUUGAAACACGGACCAAGGAGUCUAUCUAGUAUGCAAGUAAAUGGGCCUUAUUAAAAACCUAUUUGCGUAAAUAACUUGACUGUUGUAUACAAUGGGAUUACGAGUAUAUUUUAUAUGCUCCUCCAUCCCGGGGUAUUUUCACAACAUAUAUGGGCAACUAUAUAUAGAAAAUAUACCAUGAGCAUACUGGAUAUGACCCGAAAGAUGGUGAACUAUGCCUGAUCAGGUUGAAGUCAGGGGAAACCCUGAUGGAGGACCGAAGCAAUUCUGACGUGCAAAUCGAUUGUCAGAAUUGGGCA
rnacentral:rRNA from 1 species